CUCUCUCUCUCUCUCUCUCUCGGUAGAAUUUUGGUUUUGACCUUUAUUUUCUAAAAAUUGGAGCAUUGGUAUGUUUAGUGAAAGCUUUUCCAUCAAUAGAAAAUUAUGUCUAGUACGUAUAUCUUUGUAUAUUUUGGUAAUGAAAUUUGGAAACCCAUCUAUUAAAAUGCGGAUAACGGGAGAAACUAAUGUCAAAUUUGUGGUUUCAUAUUCAGCAUAAACAACUUUGGAAAUGCAGUUCAAAGUGCUUGAUGUUUUUGUGCUUGUGAUGCACCCCAUGGUCUCUGGUCUGUCAACCUAUAUUAUUUAAAUUCAAUUGCUUUAUUUCUUCUCAAUCUUAUCUGCCAUGAAUUCUAUUGGAAAAAUUAAGCAUGCAAUUUGCAAUUAAGCAAAUAUUUUUUUGUGCAG
rnacentral:misc_RNA from 1 species